rnacentral:rRNA from 1 species
UACGAAGGGAGCUAGCGUUGUUCGGAAUAACUGGGCGUAAAGGGUGCGUAGGUGGGCGUGUGCGUUAGAUGUGAAAUCCCCGGGCUUAACCUGGGAACUGCAUUUAAUACGGCACGUCUAGAGUGCGAGAGGGGAAAGCGGAAUGGCGAGUGGAGCAGUGAAAUGCAUUGAGAUUCGCUAGAACACCAGAGGCGAAGGCGGCUUUCUGGCUCGCUACUGACACUAAGGCACGAAAGCGUGGGGAGCAAACAGG